UCCGCCGCGCUCUCAGAAGGCACGCAGACGCGGCUCCGCCCCUAACUCCUCCUUCUGUGGCGGAGGCGUCUCCCACCGCCGCUCAACCCCGGAAGUGUCCGCGCGCAGCUGUCCUCCCACCGAGUUGGCUUUUCGUUAGUGUCUUACUCUGUUCCAGUUGGAUAAUGGGAGACUUUAAGUGCAACUGGAGAGUGGGACGAGGGGAUGGUGGCUGGUUGAGGAGUUUCCACUCUGAAGAAUAUAAUAGGAUCCAGAGUCCUCCCCCACCCUUGAGAAUUAGAGCCAAGGUUGGGCCUCCUUGGGCACAGCCGUAACAGGUGGACCCAUCUCCUAGACACUGGCUACAAAGGAUGACACUGGACACAAAAGAAGUCAGAACUCUGGGAAGAGAGAAGAUCUCAGGAUGCCUAGCAAGAAAUGAUGCUGUGCAGGCUGAUCUGACUGAGUAAAACAAAAAUGUAUUUGA